rnacentral:rRNA from 1 species
UUGUGCAAAGGUUGCAUAAUCAUUAGUCUUUUAAUUGAAGACUGGAAUGAAAGAGUAAACCAAGAGAAGAAUUUUUUUUACUUAGAAAGUGAACUUUACCUUUUAGUAAAAAGGCUAAAAUAAUCCUUAAAGACGAGAAGACCCUAUAAAACUUUUAUAUUAUAUUUUUAUUUAAAGUAAGAAGUAUAGUAUUUUGCUGGGGUGGCAAGGGAAAGUGACUUCUCUUAAAAAAAGAAAGAUAAGUCUUAUGAUAUCCAAACAUUUUGAAGAAGAAAUAAGUUACUUUAGGGAUAACAGCUUAAUUUGUUUUGAAAGUCCUAAUUGACAAGCAAGUUUAAGACCUCGAUGUUGAAUUAAAAAACCUUUAUUUGUGUAAAAGCUUAAAAGGGGGUCGUCGACCGACC